GCUUAUGGCCAUGCCACCCUGAGCACGCCUCAUCUGAUCUCCAGAAGCUAAGUAGGGUUGCCCUUGGUUAGUACUUGAAUAGGAGACUGCCUGGCAAUACCAACUGCUCCAAGCU
rnacentral:rRNA from 1 species